GACGAACGCUGGCGGCGUGCCUAAUACAUGCAAGUAGAACGCUGAAGAGAGGAGCUUCCUCUUCUUGGAUGAGUUGCGAACGGGUGAGUAACGCGUAGGUAACCUGCCUUGUAGCGGGGGAUAACUAUUGGAAACGAUAGCUAAUACCGCAUAACAAUGGAUGACACAUGUCAUUUAUUUGAAAGGGGCAAUUGCUCCACUACAAGAUGGACCUGCGUUGUAUUAGCUAGUAGGUGAGGUAAUGGCUCACCUAGGCGACGAUACAUAGCCGACCUGAGAGGGUGAUCGGCCACACUGGGACUGAGACACGGCCCAGACUCCUACGGGAGGCAGCAGUAGGGAAUCUUCGGCAAUGGGGGCAACCCUGACCGAGCAACGCCGCGUGAGUGAAGAAGGUUUUCGGAUCGUAAAGCUCUGUUGUAAGUCAAGAACGGGUGUGAGAGUGGAAAGUUCACACUGUGACGGUAGCUUACCAGAAAGGGACGGCUAACUACGG
rnacentral:rRNA from 1 species